GAGCUAAAUUUAACUCGUUGGUCCGCUGCUAAAGAGCUCAAUCCGAGCCAUCGGGCAUACCAAAUCAACAUUUUUCCAGUCUAGACCUUUUUAGGGUGCUUCUACCCCUCGCGCAAGAAAGUUGUAUCGAAUUGCAUCGUACUUUUGACUACAGAAUAUUCUUCAUUUCUGCACAUCUCCUUCAGAUCGAAUAAAUGCUUCCGGCUGCGUAUGUGUGGUUGAAUUAUAGGGUUUUUGUAUUGUUCCAGGAUUGUGAAAGCUUUGUUAAAUGCCCCGCCCGCACCCCCCACCCCACAAAGGGUGGGUUAAGUUUUGAUAUGUGCCGGAGGAAUGAUAUGCUCGUGAAGAAGGGAAUUCAUCUACCGGUUUCAGGAAGACAUGAACCAUCAUUGUUGGCUUAAUUUUUGAGGUUUUGUCAACAAAGAUCAUUCUGUUGAAACCAGAAGUGGAGGUAGUAGCUGAGGUUGAUGCCAUGGAAGAAGAGUAAGGCAGAUUAUUUUGCAUGCGCCAAACAUUGUUUUUGGCCAUUCUUUGAAAUUGUGACAACGAAGCAUGCAUACUUAAUGUAAUUGAAUUCUAAUUUUAAUAUUAAACAUUGUACUUAAUACUCGAAUAUUGAAAUAUUUUAAUCAUCACUGCAUGUUAGUGCGA